UCACCUGGUUUAAAAGGGUUUCUCUCUUCCCCUAGCUGCUCGCAUGGUCCUGGGUGCCAGAACAAGCAUUUGAGCUGACCCCACUGAAAGCCAGUGCAAGACUCUGGGGACAUAGAGAGGGUGGCACAGCUGACACAAGGCAGGCUUCCCUCCAGCCACUUUGUGCCCCCUGAUGACAGGACUGCCAUGCAGGGAACAGGACACCUCUGAGGACAGUCCAUCGGUAUAUGCUGGGUACCGAGGUGGUCCUCAGCACUCCCACCAAGGAGGGACACUCAUGUGAUGCCAGCUCAGUGCCUGGAGCAGCCAGGCUUGGAUGAGGUGCCAAGCUGAGUCCAUUGCCUUCAGCCCUUCUUCCCCCCAGUCCUGCUCAGCACCUUGGGCAUUUGUAGAUGUGGUUUUAUGGCACAAUAAAGGUGUUACUGUCA